AGUCGAACGGCAGCACGGACUUCGGUCUGGUGGCGAGUGGCGAACGGGUGAGUAAUGUAUCGGAACGUGCCACGAAGAAGCGGGGGAUAACUACGCGAAAGCGUAGCUAAUACUGCAUACGCCCUUCGGGGGAAAGCGGGGACCUUCGGGCCUCGCACUAUUAGAGCGGCCGAUAUCGGAUUAGCUAGUUGGUGGGUAACGGCUCACCAAGGCGACGAUCCGUAGCUGGUUUGAGAGGACGACCAGCCACACUGGGACUGAGACACGGCCCAGACUCCUACGGGAGGUGGGGAAUUUUGGACAAUGGGGGAAACCCUGAUCCAGCCAUCCCGCGUGUGCGAUGAAGGCCUCGGGUUGUAAAGCACUUUUGGCAGGAAAGAAACGGCACGGGAUAAUACCCCGUGCAACUGACGGUACCUGCAGAAUAAGCACCGGCUAACUACGUGCCAGCAGCCGCGGUAAUACGUAGGGUGCAAGCGUUAAUCGGAAUUACUGGGCGUAAGCGUGCGCAGGCGGUUCGGAA
rnacentral:misc_RNA from 1 species